rnacentral:lncRNA from 1 species
GACCUCUUUCUGCUGUGAAUAGUUUGCACCCGAUGAAGUCAGCUCAAGACAUUUUGAAUAGCCUCUGCAUACCUGAGACCUGGCAAACAGCUGUGAGUGCCUUCACUACCUUCAAGAAGGACCCCAAGCAGGUGUGAUCUUCAUCCUGGCCCCUCAACAAGCCAAGCCCAGAUUGGGUAAAUUUGGUCCCAGGCAAAUGCAACAAUCAAUACUAUGGCUUUUGCCCACAGGAUGAAUGUAGACAUCCUCUUUGGAGACAGGCAGCCAUGUCGCCUCCUGACAUGUUUUAUUGGAAACAGGACCCGUCUUGGAGAAGUGGAGGGCUGUGCUGGCAGCAAUGAGCCCCUGGAAUGGGAAAGCGCACCUGGAGCACCCCCUCAAAGUAGAGUGGAAAACAGCUGCUUGCCCCAGCCACGCCUCCAUUGGCCUUUGCCCCUCCCCCUUUCUUUUCCGCCCCAAACUUUUCUCUUUAGUGGAAAAGGAACCUAGGGCCUCCGCUAGGCAAGCCCUCUCCUACCGUUGGGCUACAGCUCCAGCCCUAAAUCUCUCUCUCUUUUUAAAGUUUUAGUUUUCACUGGCAUCUCCAUCACCUCAAAUAUUUAUCAUUUCCUUGUGGUGUGAAUGUUCAAAAUCCUUUCAAGUUGUUUUGAAAGUCACAAUAUAAUAUUAUUGACUAUAGUCACACUAGUAUACAAUAGAGCAUCAGAAUUUCUGUUUGUCUAUGUUGGUCUUAUUUUACUUAGUACAAUGUCCUCCAGGUUCAUCCAUGCUUUCACAAAUGAUAAGAUUUCCUUUUUUUAAAAUUAAUUUUUAAAUUAAA